GAUGAACGCUGGCGGCGUGCCUAAUACAUGCAAGUCGAGCGAACAGAUGAGGAGCUUGCUCCUCUGACGGUAGCGGCGGGCGGGUGAGUAACACGUGGAUAACCUACCUAUAAGUCUGGGAUCACUUCGGGAAACCGGAGCUAAUACCGGAUAAUAUAUUGAACCGCAUGGUUCAAUAGUGAAAGACGGUUUUGCUGUCACUUAUAGAUGGAUCCGCGCCGCAUUAGCUAGUUGGUAAGGUAACGGCUUACCAAGGCAACGAUGCGUAGCCGACCUGAGAGGGUGAUCGGCCACACUGGAACUGAGACACGGUCCAGACUCCUACGGGAGGCAGCAGUAGGGAAUCUUCCGCAAUGGGCGAAAGCCUGACGGAGCAACGCCGCGUGAGUGAUGAAGGUCUUCGGAUCGUAAAACUCUGUUAUUAGGGAAGAACAAAUGUGUAAGUAACUAUGCACGUCUUGACGGUACCUAAUCAGAAAGCCACGGCUAACUACGUG
rnacentral:rRNA from 1 species